GGGCUGGCUUCCCAGCACAUGGACUGGAAUUGGAACGAUACAGAGAGCAGCAUGGCCCUGGGCAGGGACGACACGCACAUUCGUGAAGUGUUCCAUGUUUAA